CUCCGUGGAGGGCCCCUGGGCACCCAGCUUGGUACUCCCCAAGCAGAAGCUUCUCCGACCUCCUGGGUCCUGGAAGCCCUGUGGCCCCCAGGAGGUUCCUCCUGGUUUUCUCCUGCCUCGUGCUGUCUGUGUUUUCCACCAUCAAGGAGUAUGAGAAGAG
rnacentral:sRNA from 1 species